rnacentral:tRNA from 1 species
AUUUCUUUAGUAUAUCAGUACUAAUGCCUUCCAAGCAUUAAGACCCGCACAGGGAAGAAAUA